UGCUUAAAUCCAGCUACCUUGCUCCCUGACC
rnacentral:piRNA from 1 species